rnacentral:rRNA from 1 species
CCUACGGGUGGCUGCAGUGGGGAAUAUUGGACAAUGGGGGCAACCCUGAUCCAGCCAUGCCGCGUGUGUGAAGAAGGCCCUCGGGUUGUAAAGCACUUUCAGUGAGGAAGAACGCCUGGUGGUUAAUACCCAUCAGGAAAGACAUCACUCACAGAAGAAGCACCGGCUAACUCCGUGCCAGCAGCCGCGGUAAUACGGAGGGUGCGAGCGUUAAUCGGAAUUACUGGGCGUAAAGCGCGCGUAGGUGGCUUGAUAAGCCGGUUGUGAAAGCCCCGGGCUCAACCUGGGAACUGCAUCCGGAACUGUCAAGCUAGAGUGCAGGAGAGGAAGGUAGAAUUCCCGGUGUAGCGGUGAAAUGCGUAGAGAUCGGGAGGAAUACCAGUGGCGAAGGCGGCCUUCUGGACUGACACUGACACUGAGGUGCGAAAGCGUGGGUAGCAAACAGGAUUAGAUACCCGAGUAGUC